rnacentral:rRNA from 1 species
AUGGCGAGGAGCACGCGGUCGGUGGCGACAGAGCGCGCCUACCACCACUUCGCGCCGGCGUCGACGCGUGGCCUCACGGGGUACCCGGCCACGGCAGGCGGCCCCGUCACGGCCGACGAGUUCGACGAGUCAGACGUCUGGGGGUCGUUCAACCCGGCAGAGGAGGCCGAACAACCGGCAAGGUCGGGUGCCGAGCUUCCCCGGGCCCGUGCAGUCCCGGCUGCCCGUCCUGUGAGGAAGACGAAGCCGGUGGGCGGGGGCGGCACCGCGCACGGGUCGCUACCCGUGGCCAUACCGGACUGGGCCAAGAUCCUUGGGGAUGAGUACCAGGGGCACCAGGCCGGGGACUGGGAGCUAGACGACGCGGACGACGAGGACGUCGAGGGCGCCUCGGUGGUGCCGCCGCACGAGCUGGCGUGGCGGCGCCGGGCCGCAUCGCUGUCUGUGAACGACGGGAUGGGGGUCGGCAGGAUGCUCAAGGUCCGAGACGCGGUCUGGAAGAAGACAGGGUUCCAGGCCUGA